CGGCGGACGGGUGAGUAAUGCCUAGGAAUCUGCCUGGUAGUGGGGGACAACGUUUCGAAAGGAACGCUAAUACCGCAUACGUCCUACGGGAGAAAGCAGGGGACCUUCGGGCCUUGCGCUAUCAGAUGAGCCUAGGUCGGAUUAGCUAGUUGGUGAGGUAAUGGCUCCCCAAGGCGACGAUCCGUAACUGGUCUGAGAGGAUGAUCAGUCACACUGGAACUGAGACACGGUCCAGACUCCUACGGGAGGCAGCAGCG
rnacentral:rRNA from 1 species